rnacentral:rRNA from 1 species
GACGAACGCUGGCGGCGUGCUUAACACAUGCAAGUCGAACGGCAAGGCCCUGCUUUUGUGGGGUGCUCGAGUGGCGAACGGGUGCGAAACACGUGAGUAACCUGCCCUUGACUUUGGGAUAACUUCAGGAAACUGGGGCUACUACCGGAUAGGAGCUCCUGCUGCAUGGUGGGGGUUGGAACGUUUCGGCGGUUGGGGAUGGACUCGCGGCUUAUCAGCUUGUUGGUGGGGUAGUGGCUUACCAAGGCUUUGACGGGUAGCCGGCCUGAGAGGGUGACCGGCCACAUUGGGACUGAGGUACGGCCCAGACUCCUACGGGAGGCAGCAGUGGGGAAUAUUGCACAAUGGGCGGAAGCCGGAUGCAGCAACGCCGCGUGCGGGAUGACGGCCUUCGGGUUGUAAACCGCUUUCGCCUGUGACGAAGCGUGAGUGACGGUAAUGGGUAAAGAAGCACCGGCUAACUACGUG